UGGGGAAUAUUGCACAAUGGAGGGAACUCUGAUGCAGCGACGCCGCGUGAAUGAAGAAGGCUUUCGAGUCGUAAAGUUCUUUUAUAUGGGAAGAUAAUGACGGUACCAUAAGAAAAAGCCCCGGCUAACUACGUGCCAGCAGCCGCGGUAAUACGUAGGGGGCUAGCGUUGUCCGGAAUCACUGGGCGUAAAGGGUUCGCAGGCGGAAAUGCAAGUCAGGUGUAAAAGGCAGUAGCUUAACUACUGUAAGCAUUUGAAACUGCAUAUCUUGAGAAGAGUAGAGGUAAGUGGAAUUUUUAGUGUAGCGGUGAAAUGCGUAGAUAUUAAAAAGAAUACCGGUGGCGAAGGCAACUUACUGGGCUCAUUCUGACGCUGAGGAACGAAAGCGUGGGUAGCAAACAGG
rnacentral:rRNA from 1 species